GGUGAGUAAUAUCAAUAAGUUAACCUGCCCUAGACCAGGGGGAUAACUAUUGGAAACGAUUAGCUAAGACCGCAUAGGUACGGACACUGCAUUGGUGACCGUAUUAAAAGUGCCUCAAAGCACUGGUUGAGGAUGGACUUAUGGCGCAUUAGCUGGUUGGCGGGGUAACGGCCCACCAAGGCGACGAUGCGUAGCCGACCUGAGAGGGUGACCGGCCACACUGGGACUGAGACACGGCCCAGACUCCUACGGGAGGCAGCAGUAGGGAAUUUUCGGCAAUGGGGGAAACCCUGACCGAGCAACGCCGCGUGAAGGAAGGAGGUUUUCGGAUUGUAAACUUCUGUUAUAAAGGAAGAACGGCGGCUACAGGAAAUGGUAGCCGAGUGACGGUACUUUAUUAGAAAGCCACGGCUAACUACGUGCCAGCAGCCGCGGU
rnacentral:rRNA from 1 species